GACGAACGCUGGCGGCGCGCUUAACACAUGCAAGUCGAGCGAAGCGGCGGACGGGUGAGUAACACGUGAGUAACCUGCAUUAGACAUUGGGAUAGCCUCGGGAAACCGGGAAUAAUACCAAAUGGUAUAAGAUGGACUCGCGUCCCAUUAGCUAGUUGGUGGGUAACGGCCCACCAAGGCGACGAUGGGUAGCCGGCCUGAGUGUGUGAACGGGCACAUUGGAACUGAGAGACGGUCCGAACUCGCCGGGAGGCAGCAGUGGGGAAUUUUGCACACUGGGGGAAACCCUGAUGCAGUGACGCCGCAUGAUUUAGAAGGCCUUCGGGUUGUAAAUAUCUUUUUUAUGGGCUGCAGUACCAUAAGAAUAAGGUCCGGCUAAAUACGUGCCAGCAGCCGCGGUAAUAC
rnacentral:rRNA from 1 species